rnacentral:rRNA from 1 species
AUUGAACGCUGGCGGAAUGCUUUACACAUGCAAGUCGAGCGGCAGCGCGGGGGCAACCCUGGCGGCGAGCGGCGAACGGGUGAGUAACAUAUCGGAACGUACCCCGUCGUGGGGGAUAACACAGCGAAAGCUGUGCUAAUACCGCAUACGACCUGAGGGUGAAAGCGGGGGAUCGCAAGACCUCGCGCGAUGGGAGCGGCCGAUAUCGGAUUAGCUUGUUGGUGAGGUAAAGGCUCACCAAGGCGACGAUCCGUAGCUGGUCUGAGAGGACGACCAGCCACACUGGAACUGAGACACGGUCCAGACUCCUACGGGAGGCAGCAGUGGGGAAUAUUGGACAAUGGGGGCAACCCUGAUCCAGCCAUGCCGCGUGUGUGAAGAAGGC